CCGAGAUCGCACCACUGUACUCCAGCCUGGGGGACAAGAGCGAGACUCCAUCUCAAAAUAAAUAAAUAAAUAAAAAUGAAAACCAACUACACAUUUCUAAUCUGGUUUGCUUUAAAAUUUUUAAAUAUUUGUGUUUUUAAUGAAUGUAUUUAUUUGAGGCAGGGUCUCUGUUGCCCAGGCUGGAAUGUAGUGGUGCAUCGUAGCUCACUGCAGUCUCCACCUGCCCGGCUCAAGCGAUCCUCUCACUUUAGCCUCUGGAGUAGCUGGG
rnacentral:lncRNA from 10 species